rnacentral:rRNA from 1 species
UUGGAGGGCAAGUCUGGUGCCAGCAGCCGCGGUAAUUCCAGCUCCAAUAGCGUAUAUUAAAGUUGUUGCAGUUAAAAAGCUCGUAGUUGAAUUUCGGGGUUAGUAGGUUGGUCAUGCCUCUGGUAUGUACUGGUCUCACUGAUUCCUCCUUCCUGAUGAGCCGUAAUGCCAUUAAUUUGGUGUUGCGGGGAAUUUGGACUGUUACUUUGAAAAAAUUAGAGUGUUUAAAGCAAGCUAACGCUUGAAUACAUUAGCAUGGAAUAAUGAAAUAGGACGUUCGAUCCUAUUUUGUUGGUUUCUAGGAUUGACGUAAUGAUUAAUAGGGAUAGUUGGGGGCAUUAGUAUUCAAUUGUCAGAGGUGAAAUUCUUGGAUUUAUUGAAGACUAACUACUGCGAAAGCAUUUGCCAAGGAUAUUUUCAUUAAUCAAGAACGAAAGUUAGGGGAUCGAAGACGAUCAGAUACCGUCGUAGUCUUAACCAUAAACUAUGCCGACUAGGGAUCGGAUGAUGUUAAUUUUUUAAUGACUCAUUCGGCGCCUUACGGGAAAC